UACGUAGGGUGCGAGCGUUGUUCGGAAUCAUUGGGCGUAAAGGGCGCGUAGGUGGACUUGAAAGUCGAUUGUGAAAUCCCUGGGCUCAACCCGGGAACUGCAGUCGAAACUCCAAGUCUUGAGUGCUUGAGAGGGUAGUGGAAUUCCUGGUGUAGAAGUGAAAUUCGUAGAUAUCAGGAGGAACAUCAGAGGCGAAGGCGGCUGCCUGGCAAGACACUGACACUGAGGCGCGAAAGCGUGGGGAGCAAACAGG
rnacentral:rRNA from 1 species